GGGGUUGUGGCUCAAUGGUAGAGCACUCGUCUAGCAUGUGUGAGGCCCUGGGUUUGAUCCUCAGAACCACA
rnacentral:tRNA from 1 species